rnacentral:rRNA from 1 species
UACGGGGGGGGUAAGCGUUGUUCGGAAUUACUGGGCGUAAAGGGCUCGUAGGCGGCCAACUAAGUCAUACGUGAAAUCCCUCAGCUUAACUGGGGAACUGCGUGUGAUACUGGAUGGCUUGGAUUUGGGAGAGGGAUGCGGAAUUCCAGGUGUAGCGGGUGAAAUGCGUAGAUAAUCUGGAGGAACACCAGUGGCGAAGGCGGCACCU